CGGGCGAGGGGGUGGGCGGCCAGGGUGGGCAGCGAGGUCCUUCAGGGCCUAGAGCGCAGCCCAGCGCAACCCGGCUCAGGGCGAGGAGCGCCCCGUACCCUCCAGCGUCCUUGGGGCCAGACACUCGCUGCAGCUUUUUUAGGUGAAAGAAGCUCUCGCUCACAGCCCGUUCCUCCCUUGCCGCCUGUUUUCUGGAUGCACCCCUGCCUGACACACACUUCUCAUCUUUCUCGGUGGAUGAGGUCGUCUGUAGCUUCUGGCUGGGCCUUAAAGGCUGCCCGGUUGGAGCAAUGACUUGAGAGUUCCUGCCACUCCACAUCCUCACCUGCAUUUGGUGUUAUCAGUGCCCUGGAUUUUGGCUCUUCUUCCAGGCUGAUGAAUCCCAACUUAGAUCUUAUGCCCGGUCUGUCGCAUUUGCACAUAUUCAUAUCCAGCAGUCAACUUGCCAUCUUCAUUUGGAUGUAUACUAGCCAUGUGAAAUCUAACAAGAAUGAAACAGAAUUUCUGAUUCCUGCUUACCUGAAAUUCUUGCUCAAGAUAGUAAAAAGUUGGCAAUCCCUUUGGAAAACCCCAAUUCAGUGAACAUCGGACUGUUCAACUUGUCAUUGGAUAGCAUCAGAUGACAGUUUUGUCUCUAAGACUCUUCAAAACUUACUGCAAAAUGCUCACCUUGCUGUGUCUACCAAUCCUAAACUAUUAUGCACAAUCUGCAUUGCAAGACCUGCCUGCAACCAGACCUUAAAUGUCAGAAAUACCUGAACUAGGCUCUCCCCUACCCAAGAGAUGCUGCUGAGACUCAGUCAAGGUGACGAUCUCCCUGGAGGUAAUAACUUCAGAGAUAUUUGCUGGUGUUUCCAAGGAGUCAGUUAUAAUCAAAGAUAGUCCCAGAGGAGGUUAUCGUAUUGUUUGCUAUCAUAAUUUCUUGGCCCCCAAAUUAAAUGACAUAUUCACUCAUUUCCUCAUUCAACAAAUAUGUAUUGAGAUCUUUUUACACAUCUGCCUUCCCACCAGCGAGUUCUGAUAUGAGCGUCUAAGUACAAAUCAGACAACUGUACGCUGUGUAAAGACAAUAGAAAAAGGCAAUUCCCCCCCCCCCCCAGUGAUUUAAUCCCUUUCAUGUUUACUUUUUUGAAAUUUUAAAAAUUUUGACAGGGAAAGAAAAUUUUUCUCAUUAAAGAUGAGGACUUCUUGGUUUGCCCUAAACUUUUUCUAUCUCCUUUUAUCCAGUCUCCUAAGUUCACUGAUCCAGGAGCCUGCAUAUGGCCAAGAGUUUUCUGGAGGAAAGCCAAGCACAGCUGAAACAUCAGCUUUCUGACGACUUAGGGGAAAAGCAACCCUCUCUGCCAUCAUCGUUCAUAAAAACUCUGGAAUUUAUUUGCACAAAGAGCUCAUUGAGAGCUGACAGGCCUGCUACAGCCUUUCCUUUAUUCCAUGGAGGAAGCGUCAGAAAAACCAGCCGACUGGCUUGUGCCAUUUCUGCAAACGUGCCGUGUUCAAGAGGGUGGGCCUGGCUCCCCUGUUGGGCAGAGGCGACAGAACAGCCUGGGGAAGGAGCCCAGGACUCAGAGCCAGGGCCUAAUUGCCAACUGAGGCAAGUCCCUGAGCCACCCAGUGCCUCCAUCUCCUCAUCUGGGAAACGUAGAUGGGGGAAAAAAAGUAGCAUUUCAUCUCCAGGAAGCUUGUGUUCAUCAGCUGAGAAAAGGGAGAUGAGGUUGUCAUGUCAAUGUGGACUCUUCACAAAGUGCCAGCAUUAUGUCAUGGUUGGAACUGCCAUUUUAGCAGUUCUACAAAACCUGCCUCCCCUCCCCACCCCCACCUCACCCCUCACCCCCGCAAGUGUCUUCCUACAGUGCCAGUAUUUCUACAAAGAGAAAAGCAGUCUUUGUUCUCUUCCUGUUUGGACUCUUUGAAAAAUGCAGGAACCUCCUGGAAGGCAUAAUACCUUAAAGCAACCCAGACUAAAACACACGGGGCUUCUUGAAUGUUUUCUUUCCCUCAGGAGGCAUCAGGUGGCUAUGGAUGGGUGAUGAAGAAAAGGAGUACUGAAAAGUUGGGAAAAGUCAUUUUAGAAAGGAGGAAUGCCCGCUGAAUAAGAGAAUUGUAAUAACCUUGCAGAUUAUAGGGAUUGGUGGUUUUUGAAGUGAAAGCUUAGGCAGGUACCUUUUUUAUCAAACAGGAAAAACAAAGCUGGAGUGGGGGUUUCCCCACACCCACCCACCCCCAUCACAGCCUGUCACUGAUGCCUCUGCAGCCCACAAAGACCCCCUGUGCAAUUUCAAGGCUCUGAGGAACAGAGCUGGAAAAUUUCUGCUGCUUAGUCUCUGCCUUGUCUAGCAAAGGCCAGUGACCUCCUAGAAGAAAGAUGGAAACACAGCCCCCUCCUAAUCUAGGGCUAAUGGCUGUCCAUAGGAACAAAAUAAUAAUGAGGAACACUUAAGCUCUUACUAUAUGCUAGGCUUUUGGCUAAAUUAUGUGCAUUAUUUCAUUUCAAUCUUUUAUUUAAUCUCCAAAACAGCCCAAAGAGGCAAAUGCUCUUUUCCUUCCCAUUUCACAGAUGGGGAAAUAGAAACUUAGGAUAAAAGGCUUGAUAAGGAAUUCAAAGGAAGCCUGGGUGGCUCUAGGGCUGAUAUUCUUAACUCCGUCAUAUAUUUCCUCACAUCCUAUUGUUUCCCUGAAGAAUAUUUUUGUCUCUUUCUGACCCUUACCACAAAUGUCAUUGAGAAUUUCUGUAGAUUCUAGAUUUGGAUUUCAAUAGAAGUUUGUCUGCAACCACAUUGUCUUCAGUCCAGAUUGAUGUUUUAGCAGAGGCAGAAAGAGUUUGAAUUAAAAUAGAAAGUUCGUUUAUGGGUGUAACAAGUAAGUGAGUAUACAGUCUUAGGCACAAGAUGAGGUUCUAUUUUCCUCCCAUUUGGCCAACUCUGGGUUGUUAUUUUUUUCUUUUCAAAUUUAGCAUAGGCUUACUGAAGAAAGGAAGAGGGGAAAAGUUGACAUACUGCAACAAACCAAAUACCCCACCUUAAAAUCUGAAAAUCAGAUGGGAGAAUCACACUACAAAGCAAAAUAACAUUAGGUCUGGUAAAAAAUAACCCCCAAACUUAGCUCAUCAUGGAAACUUCUAAGUGAUCUCUAGUAGAGAGAAAGAGAAAGAAAGAAACCAAAUGAAUAAGGACAUUCUUCUCCCAGUGUAGACAGCGUCAGACAGAAGUGAAAAAAUAUUCGAUUCUCUCACUGGCAAGAACAGAUAACCACUUUCAUAUUAGUCACCAGCUAUCGUCACUCACUUGGUUCUGCUGCAAUAUUUUAAAAAUAAUAGUGUUUUAGAGCUCUGAAAAUUCUUCCCAAUGCUGUGCCAACCUCCCUUAGAGCAAGGAAGAUGGGAAAAUGGAGCAACUGACAGGCAGGCAGUUGCAUGCUGGUUUUAAGGGGUUGUUUGUCUCAUUCCUGUCCAUUUGCAAGAGGCCUUUGUAUAUUAGAGACACAAAUACUUGGCUUUGGCAUCACAGUUUUGGGAACCAUAUUUUUUUCUCACUUGAUUUUUACCAGGCACAUUUUCCAGAUAGAAGUUUUUUAUUUCUUUGUGUGUAAGUAUGUCUGUCUCUUUAAAAAAUAGCUCUUGGGAUUCCAGUCCCAGUUAAGAAGAUAUCCCUCAUCUCUCCAUUGUACAUCUUGCUCUACAUUUUCUUACCUUAUUUUUUCAUUUUAGUUUACAUUUAAGUCUUUCUUCUUGAUGCAGUUCACACCAUUUUGUAUUUUCUGAGAUCCAAAUCUACUCUUUUUUUGAGGGGACUUAAUAGUCGUGCUAGCAUCACUUAUUAAAUAACUUAUUCUUAUCUCCUUGAGCUGUAAUAGCACUUGUGUCAAGUGUUAAAUUUACAUAUAUAUUUAGAUACCUUUCUGGAUUGCCUAUUCUGUUCCACCAAUCUUUUUAUUUCUCUAUAAUACUAUAUUGAUUUUAUUAGAAUACCUUUUUACUAUUCUUCUUCAUACAUUCUUGGCUUUUCUUGAGCAUUUAUUCUUCCAUAACAGUUUUAAGGAUUCUGUUCAUGUUUGUGAUGGACUGAAUAAUGCCUUUUCUUCCUCCAUGUAUGUCCACCUCUUAAUUCCUGGAACUGGUGAGUGUUACUUUACUUGGUAAAAGGGAUUUUGUGGAUGUGAUUAAGUUCAUGAUAUUGACUAACUGAUUCAGGAGACAGCCCUGAAUUAGCCCCUGGACCUAAUGUCAUCACAGAAAUUCUUAUGAGGGACAAGCAGUAGGAGUCAGAGUCAGAAGAGAAGGCAGUAUGAUGACAGAAGCAGAGAUGGGGAUUAUGUGUUUUGAAGAUGGAGGAAAGUGCCGCAAGCUAAGGAAUGUAGGUGGCCACGAGAAGCUGAAAAAAAACAAGCAAAUGGAUUCUUUUCUCAAAGCCUCCAGAUAGAAUGAGCCCCACCAACACCUUCAUAUUAGCCCAGUGAAACUGAUUUUGCACUUUUGACCUUCAGAACUGUAACACAAUAAUUUCGUGUUGUUUUAAGCUGCUAAAUUUGUGGUACUUUGUUAGAGCAGCAAUAGGAAACUAAUACAGUGUUGCAAUAGAAAUCACAUUAAAUUUAUACAUUUAUUUUGUGAAAACUGACAUUUCUCUGAGUUUUCCCAUUCAAGAAUGUAGUGUCUCUAUUUGUUUAGGUCUUGUUUUAUUUUCAUCAAUAAAAUUACACAUAUAUAUUUUUUUGUGUGUGAAAUUUAUUUCUUUUUUGCCAAACAUAUUCUGGAAUAUUUUAUAUUUUGCUAAUAUUGUGAGUGAAAUAUUUUUUUCACAUUUCCACUUCUAUAUAAUUGUUGUUAGGAUACAGAAAAAGCUUUUUCAAAUAUUUUUUUAAAUAAAUUUUUAAGUAUUCUUGUUCAGUUGUGUUACCAAAUUCUCUUAUUAACCGUACUUGAGUUUCUUGGGUUUUGUUGUUUUCUUUAUUCUUUUCUUAAGUAAAACAAUCAUAUCAUCAGCAAAAGCAAGGAAUUUUAUUCUUACUUUCCAAUGUCAGGUCGGUUAUUUAAUUUUGUUGUGCUAAUGAGUUGGGAUAUCUUCCAAGUCAAUAUUAUUUAUAAUGAUGAUUGUGAGCAUCACUAUAUAUUUCUACUUACUUAAAAUGGUUUUAGCAUUUUGUACUUUGGAAUAUUAUGUGCCAUUAAUUUGGUAAAUAGCUUUUAUUAUAUUAACUCAUUUCUUAAAUUCUUAUUGUACUCAUUAAGAAUGCCUGCCAUUUUACUAAAUACAUUUUAAACACCUAAAGAGAUGAUCAUAUGGUUUUUCUCCUUUAAAGGACUGCUGUAAUAGAUUGCAUUUAGACUUCCUGGUACUGAACCAGCCUUGAAUCGUCAAGGAAGGAAGUCAUGAUCUCUUUUUUUCUGCUGUUUUUGUUUUGAUAUAUGACUGGAUUCUGCUUGUUAAUGUUUUAUUUGGAGUUCUUGAGUCUUCACUUAAAGUUGCCCAUAAUUUUCAAUUUUGUCUAAUCUUUAUCAGCUUUAAGUUUAUUUUGACUUUAUAAAAUGAAUUGGAGUCUUUUUAUCCUUUUCUAUGGCUUAGAGUAGUUUAAAUAAAAGUAAAUGUUAGAUAAAACUGAGCUAGAAAUUCAUGCCUGGUGAGUUUUCAAACAUUUGUAUUUCCUUCCUCUUUCUCAUCCAACUUUAAACACCUAGAUCUUUCUCAUCUAAUUUUAUAUUAUAACUCUGGAUUGUCAUUGAAUUAUUCUUAUAAAUCUUUCAUUUCAAGGGCUCUCACUUAGACUUACCUACCUCCAGUCAGAAUCUUUCUGUGUUCUGUAUACAUGUAUAAAGAUUCAUUGCUUACCAGUCGCUCUUUUUUCAUCUUUUCCCAUGUUGAGAUUAAUAUUCUGAUUUUUUUUUAAAAGUUUGGUCUUUCUGAGUAUUUUCCUCCAAUAGAGUAUAUCACAGAUAUGUUGACAUACUCUCUGAAAGCUUGCCUAUCCUUCCUCAUUUAUAUUUUCUCUCACUCUCACCAACUAAUGAAAUAAUGCCUGGGUAUAGAAUUUCUCUCAGUCCUUUGUAAUGCUAUUUCACUGUUUUCUGGCUUCCAGUGUUGUGGUCUGAUGUGAUGCCCAUCUGAUUAUUCUCCCAUUGUACGUAACUUAAUCAUUCUGUCUGGAAAUAUGUAAGAUCUUGCUGUUAUUCUUAGAAUUUAAGACUUGGAAUAUAGCUAAAUAUUUUACUUUUCUCACACUAUUCCAUUUCCCUAGUGACUCCUGAUGUUGAGCAUCUCUUCAUCUGUGUAUUGGCAAUUUGUCUGUCUUUGGAAAAAAAGUUUAUUCAAGUGGCACAUCUAUUUUUGUAAUUGGGUUAUUUGUCUUUCUAUUGUAGCUAUUUAUUGUUAUAUGUUUGUGUUGGUUAUUUGAAUCUAUGGCUUCCGCAUUUUCUGGAUUUCUUUUUUCAUCAGUGAUCACAUCAGUACAGCAAUGAUCACAUCACAUCAGCAAACAGCUCCAUGUGGGUCAUGGUUCAUGAUGUUCACCAGAGGAAUACAUUCUUUAUGGUGCAGCAGGAGCUGGAAAAAAAGUACUUUAUGAUCUUUUUUUUAAAUAUAUAAUGAUUUUAAUUUUUUUCCAUUAUAGCUGGUUUACAGUGUUCUGUCACUUUUCUACUGUACAGCAUGGUGACCCAGUUAUAGACAUUCUUUUUUCUCACAUUAUCAUGCUCCAUCAUAAGUGACCAGACAUAGACUUUAUGAUAUUAAUGUAGAAUGGCAAUCAGAUGUUUUGAGUGAGAGAAAGAAAAGUCCUGACAUUCUGAAUUACAUUUUGAAAGGAUUAAUCUAGGUUUUUGUGGCAUAGACUCUAAGGAAGUGAGGAUAGAAGUGAGCAGUCUAGUUAAGGAUCUGUUGCCAUAACCCAGUGAGCUAUGAAGGCAUGGGGGCUAAGGUGAUAAUGAAGGAUUGUAAGUGAUCAGGUAGAAUGAAGAGUAUUUGCCCUUAGAUUGAAUAUGGUAAAAAGAGAAAGAGGGGAAUCAAGAAAAACUAAGGUUAUUGUUCAGAGAAACUGGAAGAAUGGAAUAAUUUACUGAGUUUAAAAUGACUGCAGGGGAAAUAGCUUGACGAGGAACAUGAAGGGUUCUGUUUUUAAUGUGGUAAAUGUGAAAUUUCUGUUAGAUAUUCUUUUUUUUAUAAUUUUUUUAUUUUCCCACUGUACAGCAAGGGGAUCAGGUUAUCCUUACAUGUAUACAUUACAAUUACAUUUUUU